rnacentral:rRNA from 1 species
CCUGGCCUUGACAUACUAAGAACUUUCCAGAGAUGGAUUGGUGCCUUCGGGAACUUAGAUACAGGUGCUGCAUGGCUGUCGUCAGCUCGUGUCGUGAGAUGUUGGGUUAAGUCCGCAACGAGCGCAACCUUUUCCUUAUUUGCCAGCGGGUAAUGCCGGGAACUUUAAGGAUACUGCCAGUGACAAACUGGAGGAAGGCGGGGACGACGUCAAGUCAUCAUGGCCCUUACGGCCAGGGCUACACACGUGCUACAAUGGUCGGUACAAAGGGUUGCUACCUCGCGAGAGGAUGCUAAUCUCAAAAAGCCGAUCGUAGUCCGGAUCGCAGUCUGCAACUCGACUGCGUGAAGUCGGAAUCGCUAGUAAUCGCGGAUCAGAAUGCCGCGGUGAAUACGUUCCCGGGCCUUGUACACACCGCCCGUCACACCAUGGGAGUUUGUUGCACCAGAAGUAGGUAGUCUAACCGCAAGGAGGACGCUUACCACGGUGUGGCCGAUGACUGGGGUGAAGUCGUAACAAGGUAGGCGUAGAUGA